rnacentral:rRNA from 1 species
UACAGAGGGGGCUAGCGUUGUUCGGAAUUACUGGGCGUAAAGGGCGCGUAGGUGGCCUGUUAAGUCGAACGUGAAAUCCCCGGGCUCAACCCGGGAACUGCGUCCGAGACUGGCAGGCUCGAAUCCGGGAGAGGGAUGUGGAAUUCCAGGUGUAGUGGUGAAAUGCGUAGAGAUCCGGAGGAACCCCAGAGGCGAAGGCGGCGCUCUGGCUCGCAACUGACGCUCAGACACGACAGCAUGGGGAGCGAACGGG